rnacentral:rRNA from 1 species
GACGAACGCUGGCGGCGUGCCUAAUACAUGCAAGUCGAACGCAUUUUCUUUCACCGUAGCUUGCUACACCGACAGAAAAUGAGUGGCGAACGGGUGAGUAACACGUGGGUAACCUGCCCAUCAGCGGGGGAUAACACUUGGAAACAGGUGCUAAUACCGCAUAAUUCCAUUUACUGCAUGGUAGAUGGAUGAAAGGCGCUUUUGCGUCACUGAUGGAUGGACCCGCGGUGCAUUAGCUAGUUGGUGGGGUAACGGCCUACCAAGGCUGCGAUGCAUAGCCGACCUGAGAGGGUGAUCGGCCACACUGGGACUGAGACACGGCCCAGACGCCUACGGGAGGCAGCAGUAGGGAAUCUUCGGCAAUGGACGCAAGUCUGACCGAGCAACGCCGCGUGAGUGAAGAAGGUUUUCGGAUCGUAAAACUCUGUUGUUAGAAAAGAACAAGGAUGAGAGUGGAAAGUUCAUCCCUUGACGGUAUCUAACCAGAAAGCCACGGCUAACUACGUG